rnacentral:rRNA from 1 species
GACGGAGGAUGCAAGUGUUAUCCGGAAUGAUUGGGCGUAAAGCGUCCGCAGGUGGCAGUUCAAGUCUGCUGUCAAAGACCGGGGCUUAACUCCGGAAAGGCAGUGGAAACUGAACAGCUAGAGUAUGGUAGGGGCAGAGGGAAUUCCUGGUGUAGCGGUGAAAUGCGUAGAGAUCAGGAAGAACAUCGGUGGCGAAGGCGCUCUGCUGGACCAUAACUGACACUCAGGGACGAAAGCUAGGGGAGCGAAUGGG